AAAGUUUCAGUGCAUUCCGUUGAUGUAGACGGCGUGAAAAUGGAAACAACAAGUAUGCCGGCUCACUGUGCUGCAUACAAUUACACACUGCGUCGUACGAUUGAGACAAGGAAACUUGGAAUGACUUUUCAUAGGUUUCCCAGAGACUAUGGGUUGAGGAGGAAUUGGAAGUUUGUCGGCUUAGACCUGGUGUCAUUCCAUCAGUGUUAAACUUCCCGGCUCAUCUUGGAAGAGUACGUGCCAGAAAGACCACGACCAAGCAGCCUUGAGAUCUUAGGCAGCGUCUCCCUCAGGUCCCUCUCUAUCUCCCCACACAUCCACCAACCACUGGAACACAUCUCCAAAGUUCUGCCGGGCCAGCUCAGCUUCCCCUCAGAAGAAGUGCCGCCACCUGCCAGAUGAAGGAGCCUUUUGAGAGGCAGCUGGCAUCGUGAUUGGACUGUACUUUGGUCUGUUCCAAUCCAGCUUCAGCUCCAGAGACGGCAGGCGGGACGAGUCAACGGGGCCUGGUGGACGAAGGCAUGCAGCUGAGUACAAUCCAGAAACCAACAGAGGAGGAUUGCAGUGGCUCAGGACCAGAACAAACAGAGUAGCAUCAUAUGUCUCUUAGAAAACAUCAUAGUAUAGCCUUUGGUAUGAAAAAACGCCAUCAUAUACAUCGUAUAUUGUACAAAUAACAAGUCAAAGGAAAGAGACAUACAUUGUAGAAUUGUAGUAAUUGUGGGCUGACUGAUUUACUGAUUAUCAGUAUUUUAUUUUUUACUGAUUUACGGUAAUAAAUACAUUUAAAAAUGG